CCUACGGGAGGCAGCAGUGGGGAAUCUUGCGCAAUGGCCUAACGGCUGACGCAGCGACGCCGCGUGUGGGAUGAAGCUCUUCGGAGUGUAAACCACUGUUGCCCGGGACGAACAGCUCGAUUUCUCGAGCCUGACGGUACCGGGUGAGGAAGCACCGGCUAACUCCGUGCCAGCAGCCGCGGUAAUACGGGGGGUGCGAGCGUUGUCCGGAAUCACUGGGCGUAAAGGGCGCGUAGGUGGUUUGAUAAGGGUGUGGUGAAAGUCCGGGGCUCAACCCCGGAUCUGCCGUGCCGACUGUCAAACUCGAGGACUGUAGAGGCAGACGGAAUUCCGGGUGUAGCGGUGGAAUGCGUAGAGAUCCGGAGGAAGACCGGUGGCGAAGGCGGUCUGCUGGGCAGUUUCUGACACUGAGGCGCGACAGCGUGGGGAGCAAACAGGAUUAGAUACCCUGGUAGUCCACGCCGUAAACGAUGGGUACUAGGUGCCUGGGGGAGCGACCCUCUGGGUGCCGGCGCUAAUGCAGGAAGUACCCCGCCUGGGGAGUACGACCGCAAGGUUGAAACUCAAAGGAAUUGACGG
rnacentral:rRNA from 1 species